rnacentral:rRNA from 1 species
CGUAGGGGGCGAGCGUUGUCCGGAUUUAUUGGGCGUAAAGGGCGUGUAGGCGGCUCGCUAAGGGUGGGGUGAAAUCUCCCGGCUUAACUGGGAGGGGGCCUGGCCGACUGGCGGGCUGGAGGCCGGUAGGGGCGCGUGGAAUUCCCGGUGUAGUGGUGAAAUGCGUAGAGAUCGGGAGGAACACCGGUGGCGAAGGCGGCGCGCUGGGCCGAGCCUGACGCUGAGGCGCGAAAGCGUGGGGAGCGAACUGGAUUAGAUACCCAGGUAGUCCACGCGGUAAACGAUGGACACUAGGUGUGGGGGGUAUCGACCCCCUCCGUGCCGAAGCCAACGCAUUAAGUGUCCCGCCUGGGGAGUACGGCCGCAAGGCUA